rnacentral:rRNA from 1 species
AGUGAACGCUGGCGGUAGGCCUAACACAUGCAAGUCGAACGGCAGCACAGUAAGAGCUUGCUCUUACGGGUGGCGAGUGGCGGACGGGUGAGGAAUACAUCGGAAUCUACUUUUUCGUGGGGGAUAACGUAGGGAAACUUACGCUAAUACCGCAUACGACCUACGGGUGAAAGCAGGGGAUCUUCGGACCUUGCGCGAUUGAAUGAGCCGAUGUCGGAUUAGCUAGUUGGCGGGGUAAGGGCCCACCAAGGCGACGAUCCGUAGCUGGUCUGAGAGGAUGAUCCGCCAACCUUGAACUGAGACACGGUCCAGACUCCUACGGGAGGCAGCAGUGGGGAAUAUUGGACAAUGGGCGCAAGCCUGAUCCAGGCAUACCGCGUGGGUGAAGAAGGCCUUCGGGUUGUAAAGCCCCUUUGUUGGGAAAGAAAAGCAGCAGGUUAAUACCCCGCUGUUCUGACGGUACCCAAAGAAUAAGCACCGGCUAACUUCGUG